rnacentral:rRNA from 1 species
GAUGAACGCUAGCUACAGGCUUAACACAUGCAAGUCGAGGGGAAACGACAUCGAAAGCUUGCUUUUGAUGGGCGUCGACCGGCGCACGGGUGAGUAACGCGUAUCCAACCUGCCCAUCACUUGGGAAUAACCUUGCGAAAGUAAGACUAAUACCCAAUGAUAUCCCACGAAGGCAUCGGAAUGGGAUUAAAGAUUUAUCGGUGAUGGAUGGGGAUGCGUCUGAUUAGCUUGUUGGCGGGGUAACGGCCCACCAAGGCAACGAUCAGUAGGGGUUCUGAGAGGAAGGUCCCCCACAUUGGAACUGGGACACGGUCCAAACUCCUACGGGAGGCAGCAGUGAGGAAUAUUGGUCAAUGGGCGAGAGCCUGAACCAGCCAAGUAGCGUGCAGGAAGACGGCCUUAUGGGUUGUAAACUGCUUUUAGAAGGGAAUAAAGUGGGUCACGUGUGACUUUUUGCAUGUACCUGAUGAAUAAGAACCGGCUAAUUCCGUG